GACGAACGCUGGCGGCGUGCUUAACACAUGCAAGUCGAACGGUAAGGCCCUUCGGGGUACACGAGUGGCGAACGGGUGAGUAACACGUGGGUGAUCUGCCCUGCACUUCGGGAUAAGCCUGGGAAACUGGGUCUAAUACCGGAUAGGACCCUGGGAUGCAUGUCCUGGGGUGGAAAGCUUUUGCGGUGUGGGAUGGGCCCGUGGCUUAUCAGCCUGUUGGUGGGGUGAUGGCCUACCAAGGCGACGACGGGUAGCCGGCCUGAGAGGGUGACCGGCCACACUGGGACUGAGAUACGGCCCAGACUCCUACGGGAGGCAGCAGUGGGGAAUAUUGCACAAUGGGCGCAAGCCUGAUGCAGCGACGCCGCGUGAGGGAUGACGGCCUUCGGGUUGUAAACCUCUUUCAGCACCGACGAAGCGCAAGUGACGGUAGGUGCAGAAGAAGGACCGGCCAACUACGUGCCAGCCGCCGCCGUAA
rnacentral:rRNA from 1 species